UUCAUCCUCUGGCCAAGGGCCAUAACCUGUGUUAUGGACUUGACCCUAACGGAUGGAGGUUCUGCACCAUCUUGUACUGCUGCCUCUCCUGUGGAGCGCUGGCUCCCCACAUAUACCUCUGGGCUCCAACCACAUAGAAUUUCACACCUUAAGUUGUCUUCCAACCUUUGUACACAUAUGUCUUGGGGAAUCCUCUUAUCUCUUCAGCUGAUAACUGAUUUUAGUUUUCCAACAUACAGUUCAAACUCCAAGAAGCCUUCCCUGAUACUCUGCUAUCUGCUUUGUCCGUACUUGGCUCCCUACAUCAUUAAUUGUUGAUUAAAUGAUGCCUGCGUUUUGCAAGGCUAAGUGCUGUGGACAAAAUCUGGGUUUUUUGCUUUCAAAGAGCUUCCAGUUUAGUAGACCAUUGCAGACGAGAGAACAGACAUUUAAAAUGCCAUUUUAUAAAUGCUACGCUAAGGGAAGUACAAGGUGCUGUAACAACCCUAAUCUAGAUGAGGGGUGUCCAGAGGCUUGGGGAAAAAACAACCUUGAAGUUGAACUCGGAAAAUAUGCCUUCUCCAGAUCACUCCAAGCAAGAAGGAGGAAAUCUUGCUCCCCUGAACCCCCCCAGGCAGGCAGGAGAAGCUAGCCUGAAGACCACACAAUGUCCUCCCGUGUUCCUGAAGAUCAUAUGCUUAAUCACAAUUGGACCCCAGAGAGCUCUCCUGCCCUUUUUCUUCCAUGUGAGGACACAAUGAGAGGACAGUUAUCUAUGAACCAGAAAGCAGGACCUCGGACCAGACAUCAAACCUGCCAGGGCCUUGAUCUUGGACUUCCCGUCCUCCAGAACUGUAAGAAAUAAAUUUCUGUUGUUUAAGCCAACCAGUUGAUGGUACUUUGUUAUAGCAGCCCAAACUAAGACGCAUGUAUCCUAACAAAUUCACAGGUUCUAGGUAUUGGGAUGUGGACAUCUUGGGGUGGGGAGGGUGCAUUAUUCUGCUGCUGUAUCAUAGAGAUUUGUCCAAAGCAGGAGAAAAUGUAUCUAAUGUAUUUUUGAUGAUCUUAUGUAUAACCCAGUUUGGGAGCCAGUUGUUAGGACUUGCUCAGAAAGAAUGUACAAGGCUGACUAAGGAGCUCUGACCUGGUUUCACUAUUUAAAUAUUCUCCUUAAAUAAAAAACAAGCAAACAAAAAUAUUAUUUGACAUUUGUAACAUCCAGGCCUUCCUUCUCCCCACAGCCACAGGGAGUAAACAUCUUGUAUACUCCAAACAUAGCCCAUGGGAGAUGUUCAGCAACUAUUCAUGGAAGGAAGGAAGGAAAGAAGAAAAGAAAGGGAAGAGGGAGAGAGCUCUCCUUACCCCCUGACACUGGGUCUGCCCAGUUUCCCAUCUGCCUCUGAGUGAGCCUGUUCUCUCUUCUUCUCCAGCCCCUGUUGCUACUUUCAGACCCCUCCACACAAGGGUUCUGCGAUACUCAGUAAUACCCUGGAUAUCCUCAUUUUGUCAUUUCUG